rnacentral:lncRNA from 1 species
AAGUGAUGACUCUUGUUUUCACUUUGACUCCCUCAAGGCAUGAUUGAAUGAACUCGUCUUCAUUAGCUAAAUCCUGCACUAUUUGUUUUAUUGACAUAAAUGUCUGGAAAUUAGAUGCAAGGCGCUUGAUAUUUGCAAUUAAAGUCUGGUACUUUUUUAAACUAUUCUCCUUUUCUUCUAAUGUUGUGAUCAGCUGUGAAACUUUUCUUUUUUCUGUUUCCUCUACUUCUUGUAGCUCAUCUAUUAACUUCUUCU